CAGUCGCCGCGGUAAUACGUAGGUGGCAAGCGUUGUCCGGAGUUAUUGGGCGUAAAGGGCUCGCAGGCGGUUUCUUAAGUCUGAUGUGAAAGCCCCCGGCUCAACCGGGGAGGGUCAUUGGAAACUGGGAAACUUGAGUGCAGAAGAGGAGAGUGGAAUUCCACGUGUAGCGGUGAAAUGCGUAGAGAUGUGGAAGAACACCAGUGGCGAAGGCGACUCUCUGGUCUGUAACUGACGCUGAGGAGCGAAAGCGUGGGGAGCGAACAGGAUUAGAUACCCCAGUAGUCCCUGUCUCUUAUAC
rnacentral:rRNA from 1 species